GCCGAGCGUGGUGGCGCAUGCCUGUAAUCCCAGUGGCUUGGGAGACUGAGGCAGGAGGUUUGCAGUUCAAAGCCAGCCUCAGCAAAAGUGAGGUUGAGGUGCUAAGCAACUCAGUGAGACCCUGUUUCUA
rnacentral:sRNA from 1 species